UAGGGAAUAUUGGGCAAUGGGCGAAAGCCUGACCCAGCGACGCCGCGUGCGCGAUGAAGGCCUUCGGGUUGUAAAGCGCUUUUGGAGGGGAUGAGGAAGGACAGUACCCUCCGAAUAAGCCUCGGCUAACUACGUGCCAGCAGCCGCGGUAAAACGUAGGAGGCGAGCGUUAUCCGGAUUUACUGGGCGUAAAGCGCGUGUAGGCGGUCUAGCAAGUUGGAUGUGAA
rnacentral:rRNA from 1 species